GGGGGAAACUGAAACCUCCCUGACCCUGUGGUUCCUGUAAGGAACCACAGGAAUCAACAUCAUUAUCACCUCUCCUUGGUUUGCAGACAUUAUUUCUGAGUCAUGUGAAUGAACUAGAAACCUUAAAUAGGAAGUCAGAAGGGAAGCUGGGGAGGACAGUGGGGACCAGGUUGAAAGAUGAUAUUGACUAUUUGUACUUUUCAAUUAGCACAGGUGCAAUGCUUCAGGAUUCUUGGCCAAAAAAUGAUAUGAAAAUGAUUGGACUGACCUGCUCUUUCUAGGGUAACAGCCAUUCUUCUAGGUCUUGCCACUAUUUUCUUCCUCCUGGAUUCUUCCAAGAGCCUAUUCUCUGCCUUCUACCAACCUUAUUUCUCAGUAUCCAUUCUCUCACUGAAGGAGAAGAGAAGAUUGGCCUCAGACACUUUCGUCUUCAGACCUGUGCCUCUCCUUUGAGGAUCCCUUCCCCGAAGCUGCCAAGGAGAACCUUCCCUCACACUGUUCCUCCCUUG